GACGGAGGAUGCAAGUGUUAUCCGGAAUCACUGGGCGUAAAGCGUCUGUAGGUGGUUUAAAAGUCCACUGUUAAAAAUUGAAGCUUAACUUCAAAGAUGCCGUGGAAACUUUUAAACUUGAGUAUGGUAGGGGUAGAGGGAACUUCCGGUGGAGCGGUGAAAUGCGUUGAGAUCGGAAGGAACGCCCGUGGCGAAAGCGAGGCCCUGGACCCUUCUGACGCUGAGACGCGAAGCCAGGGAGCGAACGGG
rnacentral:rRNA from 1 species